UUUUUAUUGUAACAAUCGCGGAAUAAGUGAAGAAUGGCCGAAAAAUAUGAUAAUAAUGGAUAUGGUGGAGGUGAUUUUAAGCGAAAUUCGACUCAAGACUUGCAACAGUCCGAAGACGCGGUACAAGAUGGCGAGGAUGGACCAAAAUUGAAUGAAAAAGCCGGCGAAUAUAUGAGAGAUCUUCUUGGCGAAAAAAUCAAAUUGAACAAUUCAAAAUUCCCCAUAUCUACUAAGCUUAUUGAUGCAGAGGUGGCCCGUGUGCAAGCUACAGGCAAAAUCGUCAGAGACGCCAAAUAUCUGGAUGUAUACCGUGAGAAGCCCGUCAAAGUUACAGUCAAAGUCCUUGUGCCUGUCAAGGAACAUCCAAAGUUCAACUUCGUGGGUAAACUGCUGGGACCGAAAGGAAACACAAUGAAGCAACUGCAAGAGGAGACCAUGUGCAAAAUGGCAGUUCUUGGACGUGGAUCUAUGAGGGACAGACAAAAAGAAGAAGAACUCCGAAACUCCCUAGAUCCGAAGUAUUCGCACUUGUCAGACGAGUUGCACGUGGAGAUAAGUGCGCUGGCGCCACCGGCUGAGGCGCAUGCGCGGAUUGCGUACGCCUUGGCAGAGGUUAAAAAGUAUCUCGUGCCAGAUGCUAACGACAUGAUCAGGCAGACCCAGAUGAGAGAUAUUAUGGACAGAGGAGUGCGGCCCGGUCCCCCCGGUCGCAUCCCGCCUCGCAUGCCGCCGGCUCCCCCACCGAUGUCGCGGCCCAUGCCCGCCAAGAACAAAGUCAUCAGCAUCCUCGAUCGUGCACGCUCUGCUAUGGAGUCCUCGUACAGCUACGAUGAUCCAUACGCUUCAGAGCCUCCGGUGCGCGGCCCCCCGCCCCGCGCCCCCGAGCCGGACUUCUACUUCGAACGCAGCCACGACCGCUACUACGAGGAGGACUACUACAAGGAGCCGGCGCCGUCGCGCGAGUUCAAGGCGUCGGCGCGCGAAGUGGGCACGCGCCGCCCCAUGCCGCAGUCGCGCCCGCAGCCGCACUACGCGCGCGCCUCGCCCUACGCGCGCCCGCCCAAGUAGUGUCAUAGUUGGUAUACUCCUUAGCGGCCCAGGCGCGCGGGGCUGGUGGACGCCAGGACCAGUUCCAAGAAGCGCCAAUAAUAAGGUGAGUUUCCUAGUUGUUCUGGAUCUAAAAUCGGGCGCAAAAGAAUGAAGAUAAAAACUCCAGCAAAAAUAGAAAAUAACCACAAAAUGUGUCCAGUUACAUCAAGUACACAAUUUAUUAUAACUAAUUUAGAUUAAUUUAAAUCUAACAUUUUUCUUUAAUUUUAUGGACCAAAACUUAAAAACUGUUCCAGAUAAUUUUACUGUGUAAAAAAAUAACCGAAGAAUCCAUUGUUGGCAAAAAAUUUACAAAAAUAAAUUGUUUAAAAAAGAAGUUGCG